AGACAUGCAUUUCAGCAAAACCUUUGCACACAUAAAAUAAUAAUAAAUAAAAGAAUUAAAAAAGCCCACUUGUCGCUGCAUGAGACCUUAUAUCACAAAACACAAACUUGUCUUUUUCCCUGUUUCUCUUUGUCUCCUUACAACUCCUUCUACACACACACACACACACACACACACACACACACACACACACACAAACACACACACACAUACAAGCACACACACACACAGGCACACACAAAGACACAGACACAGACACACACAACCCCUCCCCCAUACACAUAUUUUAUGGUGUAUUACUUAGUGAUAGUAAUUGACCACAACCACAUCUUGACAUAACACUUGAUAUAACAUAGCUUUUCCUCUCACAUUUCUUGUGAUGAUUUCCUUCAACCAGAUACAGUGUUUAAUGCUAAAUACCAUCAUACAUGCACUAUAAAUUUUCUUUGAGAGUAUAGAAGUCUCUGAGAAGACUUUAUAAUUUGUUUAUAAUUAAAUAUUUUAAAAUUCAUAAUUUAAAAUAUGGCUGAGCUGUCUAAGGCUGUUUGGAAUGUAGCAUUGAAUUUUCCUAGAGAUGAAAAAACUGAUUAGAUG
rnacentral:lncRNA from 1 species